ACCUGGCUGGCUUAGUCAGUAGAGCAUGUGACUCUUCAUCUUGGAGUCGUGAGUUCGAGUCCCAUGUUGGGUG
rnacentral:tRNA from 1 species